CCCACCAAUGAAACUGAUCCCUUAGUUCAAAAGCUAAGAUUCUUUCACAAGACGAGAAGACCCUGUGGAGCUUAUUAAACCAAGCCCACAAAAAUGACCCCUUGGUUUUUAGUUGGGGCGACUUCGGAGUAUAAAACCCCCUCCGACACGGUAUCAAUCAAACUUAGAUGGACACAUCAAAUAACACCAAGACCCAGUAGACUAUAACCUAUCUGAUCAAUGAACCAAGUUACCCCAGGGAUAACAGCGCCAUCCUCUCUUAGAGUCCCUAUCGACGAGAGGGAUUACGACCUCGAUGUUGGAUCAGGACAACCCAAUAGUGCAACCGCUAUUAACGGUUCGUUUGUUCAACGAUUAAUAGUCCUACGUGAUCUGAGUUCAGACCGGAC
rnacentral:rRNA from 1 species